CUUGCACCGAGCGGAUGAGUUGCGAACGGGUGAGUAACGCGUAGGUAACCUGCCUCUUAGCGGGGGAUAACUAUUGGAAACGAUAGCUAAUACCGCAUAAAAGUCGACAUUGCAUGAUGUUGACUUGAAAGGUGCAAUUGCAUCACUAAGAGAUGGACCUGCGUUGUAUUAGCUAGUUGGUGAGGUAACGGCUCACCAAGGCGACGAUACAUAGCCGACCUGAGAGGGUGAUCGGCCACACUGGGACUGAGACACGGCCCAGACUCCUACGGGAGGCAGCAGUAGGGAAUCUUCGGCAAUGGGGGCAACCCUGACCGAGCAACGCCGCGUGAGUGAAGAAGGUUUUCGGAUCGUAAAGCUCUGUUGUAAGAGAAGAACGAGUGUGAGAGUGGAAAGUUCACACUGUGACGGUAACUUACCAGAAAGGGACGGCUAACUACGUGCCAGCAGCCGCGGUAAUACGUAGGUCCCGAGCGUUAUCCGGAUUUAUUGGGCGUAAAGCGAGCGCAGGCGGUUAGAUAAGUCUGAAGUUAAAGGCUGUGGCUUAACCAUAGUACGCUUUGGAAACUGUUUAACUUGAGUGCAGAAGGGGAGAGUGGAAUUCCAUGUGUAGCGGUGAAAUGCGUAGAUAUAUGGAGGAACACCGGUGGCGAAAGCGGCUCUCUGGCCUGUAACUGACGCUGAGGCUCGAAAGCGUGNGGAGCAAACAGGAUUAGAUACCCUGGUAGUCCA
rnacentral:rRNA from 1 species